GGAAUCUGUCUAACUUGAUAAUUAAACCUACAAAAUUAUUUGCCAGAGAACUACUAACUACAGCUUAAAACUCAAAGGACUUGGCGGUACUUUAUAUCCAUCUAGAGGAGCCUGUUCUAUAAUCGAUAAACCCCGUUCUACCUUACCCCUUCUCGCUAAUUCAGCCUAUAUACCGCCAUGUUCAGCAAAC
rnacentral:rRNA from 1 species